CAUUAUGCUCAGCCCUAAACUUCGAUAGAUUCUUACACCCACUAUCCGCCCGGGUACUACGAGCAUUAGCUUGAAACCCAAAGGACUUGGCGGUGCUUAACAUCCACCUAGAGGAGCCUGUUCUAGAACCGAUAACCCCCGUUAAACCUCACCCUCCCUUGUUUUCCCCGCCUAUAUACCGCCGUCGUCAGCUUACCCUGUGAGGGUCUUAUAGUAAGCAUAAUUGGUAAAGCCCAAAACGUCAGGUCGAGGUGUAGCUAAUGAGAGGGAAAGAAAUGGGCUACAUUUCCUAACCCAGGAAACACGGAUAAUGUUCUGAAACGGACAUUAGAAGGAGGAUUUAGUAGUAAGCAGGAAUCAGAACGUUCCACUGAAACCGGCCCUAAAGCGCGCACACACCGCCCGUCACUCUCCCCGAGCUAACAAAACAUAUUCCUAAAACCCCGCAUCUGCAAAGGGGAGGCAAGUCGUAA
rnacentral:rRNA from 1 species